rnacentral:misc_RNA from 1 species
GAUGAAGAACGUAGCGAAAUGCGAUAAGUAAUGUGAAUUGCAGAAUUCAGUGAAUCAUCGAAUCUUUGAACGCACAUUGCGCCCGCCAGUAUUCUGGCGGGCAUGCCUGUUCGAACGUCAUUUCAACCAUCAAGCCCCAGGCUUGUGUUGGGGACCUGCGGCUGCCGCAGGCCCUGAAAACCAGUGGCGGGCUCGCUGUCACACCGGGCGUAGUAGAUUUUAUCUCGCUCAGGGCGUGCUGCGGGUUCCGGCCGUUAAAAAGCCUUUUUUACCCAAGGUUGACCUCGGAUCAGGUAGGAAGACCCGCUGAACUUAAGCAUAUCAAUAAGCGGAGGA